rnacentral:misc_RNA from 1 species
CUUAUAUGCGCGUCCACGCCAUAAAAGAAAGUACAUACAUAUGAAAAUUGCGGUCUUGGCGCGACAAACGUCACACACGUCCUAACAAUCGAAUUUCUCUCUAUUCGUGUCAAUCUCUUUUUGAACGAUGUAACAAUCGAUAUUCGGAAAAUAAAAUUUCUUCGUUUCCACGCACGAUACCAGACUCCUCUUCCAUUCGUGUCCCUGUACGAUCGACGUAAGGAAUAAAAAAACCAAACAAGAAAACACGAAAUCUGUCCUGACAGCAGCAACAUAUUUCACCAUCUUAAAACAUCCAAGCUAUUUAGAAACCUGGGCCGCUUAAAUUUCGAUUUUAAGGCGGUAUGUAGCGACGGUUCGCAUCGUUAUUCGCAUCAACAUCCGAAAUUUUACGAGACGUCCAGGUUCUCCGCAUCGAAUACCCCAAGAUACUAUUCCGAUAUUUACCCAUCUGCCAUUUGCAAGCUGAUGAAGGAGUGGUCCACCGGAAUCACCCUGUACGCGAACGUAGUCAUUGGUCGGAAUAUUAGCUUUGUUUUUGAUCGUAUUAAGGUCUCUUACAUACCUGACAAGCGUCGCCUCCGCCGUUGUAAGCGCCGGCGCAAAUCGUCGUAUUAGCGAUUCGUCGAGUGAAACUGCUCGUGCAUUUACUCUGCGGCCAUACUGGGACCUCGACUUCCAUCAAAACCUUACUAUAGGAGCCUCCGUAGUAGCGUGCGCCCCAACCUAAAUUUUUAACCA